AAAGUCGUAACAAGGUUUCCGUAGGUGAACCUGCGGAAGGAUCAUUACAGUAUUCUUUUGCCAGCGCUUAACUGCGCGGCGAAAAACCUUACACACAGUGUCUUUUUGAUACAGAACUCUUGCUUUGGUUUGGCCUAGAGAUAGGUUGGGCCAGAGGUUUAACAAAACACAAUUUAAUUAUUUUUACAGUUAGUCAAAUUUUGAAUUAAUCUUCAAAACUUUCAACAACGGAUCUCUUGGUUCUCGCAUCGAUGAAGAACGCAGCGAAAUGCGAUAAGUAAUAUGAAUUGCAGAUUUUCGUGAAUCAUCGAAUCUUUGAACGCACAUUGCGCCCUCUGGUAUUCCAGAGGGCAUGCCUGUUUGAGCGUCAUUUCUCUCUCAAACCCCCGGGUUUGGUAUUGAGUGAUACUCUUAGUCGGACUAGGCGUUUGCUUGAAAAGUAUUGGCAUGGGUAGUACUGGAUAGUGCUGUCGACCUCUCAAUGUAUUAGGUUUAUCCAACUCUGUUGAAUGGUGUGGCGGGAUAUUUCUGGUAUUGUUGGCCCGGCCUUACAACAACCAAA
rnacentral:rRNA from 1 species